GGACUACCCGGGUAUCUAAUCCGUUUUGCUCCCCACGCUUUCAUGCCUCAAUGUCAGUAACAGAAUAGUUAACUGCUUUCGCCUUAUUGGUGUUCUUCCAUAUAUCGUCACAUUUUACCGCUUCACAUGGAGUUCCGUUAACUCCUCCUGCACUCAAGCAUAAUAGUAUUACCAGCUUCCACGAGGUUGAGCCCCGAUUUCCCACUGAUAACUUACCAUGCAAUCUACGCAUCCUUUACGCCCAAUAAUUCCGGAUAACGUUCGCAACCUAUGUCUUACCGCGGCUGCUGGCAC
rnacentral:rRNA from 1 species